rnacentral:rRNA from 1 species
GAUGAACGCUGGCGGCGUGCCUAAUACAUGCAAGUCGAGCGAACAGACGAGGAGCUUGCUCCUCUGACGUUAGCGGCGGACGGGUGAGUAACACGUGGAUAACCUACCUAUAAGACUGGGAUAACUUCGGGAAACCGGAGCCAAUACCGGAUAAUAUAUUGAACCGCAUGGUUCAAUAGUGAAAGACGGUUUUGCCGUCACUUAUAGAUGGAUCCGCGCCGCAUUAGCUAGUUGGUAAGGUAACGGCUUACCAAGGCAACGAUGCGUAGCCGACCUGAGAGGGUGAUCGGCCACACUGGAACUGAGACACGGUCCAGACUCCUACGGGAGGCAGCAGUGGGGAAUCUUCCGCAAUGGGCGAAAGCCUGACCGAGCCACGCCGCGUGAGUGAUGAAGGUCUUCGGAUCGUAAAGCUCUGUUAUUAGGGAAGAACAAAUGUGUAAGUAUCUAUGCACGUCUUGACGGUACCUAAUCAGAAAGCCACGGCUAACUACGUG